rnacentral:rRNA from 1 species
GCGAAGGUUGCGCAAUCACUUGUCUUUUAAAUGAAGACCUGUAUGAAUGGCAAAACGAGGGCUUAACUGUCUCCUCUCUCCAGUCAGUGAAAUUGAUCUUCCCGUGCAGAAGCGGGAAUAUAUACAUAAGACGAGAAGACCCUAUGGAGCUUUAGACACCAAAGCAGAUCACGUUAACACCCCCUUAAUACCGGACUAAACUAAAUGAAGCCUGCCCGAAUGUCUUUGGUUGGGGCGACCGCGGGGCAUUAAAAAACCCCCACGUGGAAUGGGAGCACCAUCCUCCUACAGCCAAGAGCCACAGCUCUAGGCAACAGAACUUCUGACCAGCAAGAUCCGGCAAUGCCGAUCAACGGACCGAGUUACCCUAGGGAUAACAGCGCAAUCCUCUUUUAGAGCCCAUAUCGACAAGGGGGUUUACGACCUCGAUGUUGGAUCAGGACAUCCUAAUGGUGCAGCCGCUAUUAAGGGUUCGUUUGUUCAACGAUUAAAGUCCUACGUGAUCUGAGUUCAGACCGGAGUAAUCCAGGUCAGUUUCUAUCUAUGCUAUGCUCUUUUCUAGUACGAAAGGACCGAAAAGGAGGGGCCUAUACUGCAAGU